rnacentral:misc_RNA from 1 species
UGUACUGUAUCGUCUGUUGUGUUGUGUCGCAAGAAGAAAAAUGCUGUCAGAUUUCAGAACUUAAUAACUAGAAUUUAUAUAUUUUUUAAAUCAGACUGCGAAUAUCAAAUCAACCGACAACAUGUUGAACUCAUUUUUCCGUGGCCUUCUCGGUACCGAGGAGUCACCAACUAAAGUCCUGGAGGUGCGGUCUGACAAUUACCUCUCAAGGCCGAUACAUUACCGUGAAGAUUCCAUGUUAUUAUACGGUCCAAAGAUUCCGCCAGACAGUAAGAAUUCCAAAGAUAAAUAUUUCGAAAUUGUGCUACAUAAACCCUUUACAGAAAGCUUGCAUCAGAUGUACAGUUUAUUUCGCUCUGAAAAUAAAGAUAUUGCCGAGGAAAGGUUUAUUGUGUUAAAAGAAAGAGUUCCACUCUACAUUAAGAUCACGAAAGAAUGCACCGUCCCGAGCCUUCAGAAAUUAUGCGAUCUUUUAACGGAGCAUCAGUCCUGGUCAAUAGCACAUAUAGUGGCGCAUUUUGGCCAGUACGAACUAUUCAAUGAUGAGGAAGUGCAGAAACGCAUCGACGAGGUUGAUCCACUAACUGGAACAACACCAAUAAUGGUUGCUGUAAAAACAGCCAACGUGCGCAUGGUACAGAGCCUGGUGUCUCUGAAGUGCUCUCUAGACAAGGUGGACUUGGAAGGUAAUACUGUGUUCCACUACGCCGCCGCCAGUAAUAAGGAAAUUAUUAAUGCUCUAGCCAACAAGACAGCGACAUCGCUGAAUCUGUUCAACAAGCAGGGGUACACACCGCUUCACAUGGCGUGUCUAGCCAACGCGCCCGACUGUGUACGAGCCCUUAUACUUGCCGGGGCCGACGUCAACCUCACUGCUGCUAAGCGCUCCACCAGUUCUCUGCCCGGUCUAGUAGGCGACGUCCUAGAAGACAACCGACCUAAAUUAUACCAACAAGACAUGAAAUAUGGUGGCACACCGCUCCAUUGGGCAGUAUCGCGCGAAGUCAUAGAAGCUUUAGUCGAUAAAAAUUGCGACAUGAACGCUUUAAACUUCGACGAUAGAACUGCUUUACACGUACACGUAUUACGCGGCCGAUUAGAGUGUGCCAUUGCCUUGUUAUCAAGAGGUGCAGAAUUAAAUAUACAAGACAAAGAAGGCAACACACCUCUUCAUUUGGCCGUGAAGCAAUCGAAUAUAGCAAUAGUACAAGCGUUGGUGGUUUUUGGAGCUGAUUUGGAAGCGGUGAACAAUAUGGGCUUUACAGCGAGACAUUUGACGCCAAUAGAUAUGUCGAAUAGUAAUUACGAUAAGAUCUUGUAUAUUCUGCAUGCGGUUGGUGCUAAAAGAUGCCCACCAGAGGUCGCGGAAUGCGGCGUGGGGUGCUCGGCGCGCGGCGACUACAAUGGGGUGCCUCCGCCUGCCAUCCCGGGCGCCGCCACGCGUGACGUCAUCAGCCAGAUGCUCUCCGUCGCUGCUAUGGAGCGUGCCGCUUGUAUGGACGCCAGUCAGAAGCUAGGCCGUCUUCUCUGCCUAGACGGCGGCGGUAUUCGAGGACUAGUACUCGUGCAACUCCUCAUAAGCUUAGAAGAGGUUGUAGGCCAACCCAUCAUCCAUUGCUUCGACUGGGUAGCAGGGACCAGUACUGGAGGCAUUUUGGCGCUAGCCUUGUCUUGUGGGAAGACCUUGAGAGAAUGCCAGAGACUGUACUUCAGAAUGAAGGAGUUCGCCUUUGUCGGGAUGAGGCCCUAUCCGUCUGACGCUUUGGAGACUAUCUUGAAGGAGUGUUUGGGCACAGAGACAGUGAUGGCGGACAUCCAACACCCGAAGCUGAUGAUCUUGGCAGUGCUGGCUGACCGCAAGCCGGUGGACCUUCACAUCUUCAGGAACUACCAGUCUGCGCAGGAGAUCCUCAACUUGCAUAACGGGACAGCAAGUCCGCGCGCGGAGGCAGGCGACAACGUGACGGUGGUGGCGCUGCCCGAGCCGCCGCCCCCUGGGGAACAGCUGGUGUGGCAGGCCGCGCGGGCCACCGGCGCCGCGCCCUCGUACUUCCGCGCCUCCGGCAGGUACCUGGACGGCGGUUUGAUGGGCAACAACCCUACUUUGGACGUACUGACUGAGCUAGCAGAGUUGCGAUUGGCGCUACGAGCGACCGGUCGGGAGGAAGAGGCUAAACUGACCAGCUUGAAGGUCGUUGUGUCGUGUGGAACAGGGCUAAUACCAGUGACGAAACUAAAAGACAUAGACGUGUUCAAACCUGAGAGCUUGUGGGACACAGCUAGGCUGGCCAUGGGUUUGACGGCUAUUGGAAGCCUUCUUGUCGACCAGGCCACCCAAUCCGACGGGCGCGUGGUGGAGCGCGCACGGGCGUGGUGUAGCACGCUAGGCGUCCCCUACUACCGGUUCUCACCGCGCAUGUCUCGCGACGUGGCCAUGGACGAGAGAUGCGAUGAAAAACUAGUCACCAUGCUGUGGGAGGCGCAAGCGUACAUGCGGGAGCACAGGGACCGCGUCGCUGAACUCGCCGCUCUGCUCGUACAUGACAAGCGAUGAUCCCAAACACUACGAAGUCCUAGACGGGCACAAUUUCAUCCUAGCUAAUCUUCAUUUAUACAGAUUUGCAGCAGAUGGCAUU